AUACUACUCCCUCAGUCUCAAAAUUCUUGUUUUUAGAUUUGUCUAAAUACGAAUGUAUCAAGUCAUGGUUUAGUAUUAGAUACAUCUAUAUCUAGACAAAUCUAAGACAAGAAUUUUGGGACAGGGGGAGUAUAUC
rfam:Triticum aestivum genome assembly, contig: Triticum_aestivum_CS42_TGACv1_scaffold_050016_1BS